GUAAGGAAUAUUGGACAAUGGACGCAAGUCUGAUCCAGCCAUGCCGCGUGAAGGAUGAAGGUCCUCCGGAUUGUAAACUUCUUUUAUGUGGGACGAAAGUCAGUUUUUCUAAAUUGUUUGACGGUACCAUAUGAAUAAGCACCGGCUAACUCCGUGCCAGCAGCCGCGGUAAUACGGAGGGUGCAAGCGUUAUCCGGAUUCACUGGGUUUAAAGGGUGCGUAGGCGGGUAUGUAAGUCAGUGGUGAAAUCUCGGAGCUUAACUCCGAAACUGCCAUUGAUACUAUAUAUCUUGAAUCUCCCGGAGGUGAGCGGAAUAUGUCAUGUAGCGGUGAAAUGCUUAGAUAUGACAUAGAACACCGAUUGCGAAGGCAGCUCACUACAGGAAGAUUGACGCUGAGGCACGAAAGCGUGGGGAUCAAACAGGAUUAGAUACCCCAGUAGUCC
rnacentral:rRNA from 1 species